rnacentral:rRNA from 1 species
AUGAGUUUGAUCAUGGCUCAGGAUGAACGCUAGCUACAGGCUUAACACAUGCAAGUCGAGGGGCAGCAUGAAAGUUUGCUUGCACAACUUUUGAAUGGCGACCGGCGCAACGGGGUGAGUGACACGCUAUCCAACCUGCCUCAUACUCGGGGAUAGCCUUUCGAAAAGAAAGAUUAAUACCCGAUGUCAUAGUCCUACCGCAUGAUGGGAUUAUUAAAGAAUUUCGGUAUGGGAUGGGGAUGCGUUCCAUUAGUUAGUUGGCGGGGUAACGGCCCACCAAGACGACGAUGGAUAGGGGUUCUGAGAGGAAGGUCCCCCACAUUGGAACUGAGACACGGUCCAAACUCCUACGGGAGGCAGCAGUGAGGAAUAUUGGUCAAUGGACGAGAGUCUGAACCAGCCAAGUAGCGUGAAGGAUGACUGCCCUAUGGGUUGUAAACUUCUUUUAUAUGGGAAUAAAAUGUUCCACGUGUGGGAUUUUGUAUGUACCAUAUGAAUAAGGUUUUGGUAACUCCGUGCCAGCAGCCGCGGUAAUACGGAGGAUCCGAGCGUUAUCCGGAUUUAUUGGGUUUAAAGGGAGCGUAGGUGGAUUGUUAAGUCAGUUGUGAAAGUUUGCGGCUCAACCGUAAAAUUGCAGUUGAAACUGGCAGUCUUGAGUACAGUAGAGGUGGGCGGAAUUCGUGGUGUAGCGGUGAAAUGCUUAGAUAUCACGAAGAACUCCGAUUGCGAAGGCAGCUCACUGGACUGCAACUGACACUGAGGCUCGAAAGUGUGGGUAUCAAACAGGAUUAGAUACCCUGGUAGUCCACACAGUCAACGAUGAAUACUCGCUGUUUGCGAUAUACAGCAAGCGGCCAAGCGAAAGCAUUAAGUAUUCCACCUGGGGAGUGCGCCGUCAACGGUGAAACUCAAAGGAAUUGACGGGGGCCCGCACAAGCGGAGGAACAUGUGGUUUAAUUCGAUGAUACGCGAGGAACCUUACCCGGGCUUAAAUUGCACCUGAAUAAUGUGGAAACAUGUUAGCCGUAAGGCAGGUGUGAAGGUGCUGCAUGGUUGUCGUCAGCUCGUGCCGUGAGGUGUCGGCUUAAGUGCCAUAACGAGCGCAACCCUUAUCUUCAGUUACUAACAGGUCAUGCUGAGGACUCUGGAGAGACUGCCGUCGUAAGAUGUGAGGAAGGUGGGGAUGACGUCAAAUCAGCACGGCCCUUACGUCCGGGGCUACGCACGUGUUACAAUGGGAGGUACAGAAGGCCGCUACCUGGCGACAGGAUGCCAAUCCCCAAAACUCUCUCUCAGUUCGGAUCGAAGUCUGUAACCCGACUUCGUGAAGCUGGAUUCUCUAGUAAUCGCGCAUCAGCCAUGGCUCGGUGUAUACGUUUCCGGUCCUUGUAUAUACCGCCCGUCUAGCCAUG